ACCUCUGCGCAGAGGCAGCGUUGUAGCCAAUGAGGUUUAUCCGAGGCGUGACUAUUGCUAAUUGGAAACUGUUCUCAACUGG
rnacentral:snRNA from 1 species